rnacentral:rRNA from 1 species
CUACGGGGGGCUGCAGUUAAGAAUCUUUUGCAAUACACGUAAGUGUGACAAAGUGAGCCAGAGUGCUUUUCUCAAAGAAAAGCUUUUGCCGAAUGUAAAAAGUUCGGCGAAUAAGGACUGGGUAAGACUAGUGCCAGCCGCCGCGGUAAUACUAGCGGUCCAAGUCGCAGCCAUUUUUAUUAGGUCUAAAACAUCCGUAGCUUGCUUUGCAAGUCCCUUGUGAAAUCCGGCAUCUUAAAUGUCGAACGGGCAAGGGGUACUGCAGAGCUAGAGACCGGAAGACGUAAGAAGUACGAUUUAGGUAGUAGUAAAAUACUUUAAUCUUAAUCGGACUAACAACAGCGAAGGCAUCUUACGAGGACGGUUCUGACAGUAAGGGAUGAAGGCUAGGGGCGCAAAACGGAUUAGAUACCCUAGUAGUC